GCCUCCCAGAGGCCGCCACUUUCUUCAGGGCUAUCAGAUGAAGGCAGCAACGAAAACACCACCACAAGACCAACUUCAGGCUGGAGCUGAUGAUGCCACACAGCAAAUCAGCGAGAAAAAAGAAAAUAGACUCUACUUAGAAAUGAAACUCAACUAAAGGUAAAAGUUGUCAGGAACAUCUCCAAGAAAGCCAGAGUCAGCCUCUAAACUUUGCAUCAAGAACGCAAUGGCUUCCCUGAGGGCCCAGGGACGCGUGGCAGCUGUGAGGCAGCCCCUUCUCUGCUGUCGAGGAACUGGACACUUCUCCUGUCCCUUCCCACAAGGGGCUUCCUGGAGCUCCUGCAACCCCAGGCAUUAGUUCCGGUGCAGUUCUAGGAUCAGAUCAAUUCACUCGACAACAAGAGAAACAAAUGGAGAUUCCUACACAAAGACUUUCAAGCACAAAGAAAUCCUGCUGCCUGUAAAGCGGAGCUGCCUCAGCCCUUGAUGAACGACAGAAAAUCUCACAUUCCAGGAAUUCAGAUGAAGUGAAGUGCUCUCAUGGGGACCAGGCAUGGUUAUGCCAGUCCACUGCCCUGCAAGCCUCAAGGGAAGCCAACUGCCCUUCAGCAAGUCACACCUGCCUUGGUGGAGGCCUUGAUUGGAAGUGCCACACGCUACAUGUCCAGUCCUGAGCGGGAGAAUCGGUGUAGGGACGUUCUGGGGAUGCCAGCUGUGGCCAGAUCAGGUCCAACUACAGAAGAAUAAUGAAGACUCCACCUGAGGGCUGGAAAAACAAAACCUCAAGUGUGAGGCAGCCAACCUGUUACCUCGAGGGACUGUUCCGCAGCACAGCGGGGCCAUGGGAACAGCAGCAGACACCCCGACCUCCUCGCUACCUGUGUGUGUAUUAACACGCCGGCCUCCUCGCUACCUGUGUGUGUAUUAACACGCCGGCCUC
rnacentral:lncRNA from 1 species